CCGGACUAUGUAAUUACGUAAAAAUGUUUCCAUACCACGCGAACAAAAGUGGACUUUUUAAGUUUGUAUUUCCAAAUGUGACAGUUUUGAACCGGACGCCAUAUAUAAAUAUUUCUCAAAAGUCAAAGCUAUAUUUAGAGCGGGGGAAACUUUCGUAGUGUUACGUAAUGUUACAAGCUCAAUAAUUUAAACUUCCACUUGGUUAUGACUCUAUUCAAUUUUGUAAAUUUUUGACGCGUUUGCCAAUUAAGCGGCAAAGAUUUUAGCCUGUACGCCAAAGAGAAAAUGAU